ACCACGAUAUUAAAUUGUGCUUUUGAUGGGAGGCGACCCAUUAUUUUCUAAAAAUUUUGGUUUUGAAUUUAAUUUUUAGAUUAGGAUUGGAAUUGAAGUUAGGGUUGUACUACAUUCAAAAUGGAACUUGAAAUACUUUUUGGGAGCUUAGGAUUGCCAAAAUCAAGUUGGCGGGUAGCUGAAUGGAUCCUGCCAUUGCCAAAAAGAUUAGAGACUCCCCAGGUCUAUUACACAGGUAACUCAUCACAAUCGCAUGAGCUACAGGCCACGAUCGCAAGAGUAAUUGUUGACUUGGUGCGAUCACAUGAGCCACAGGUCAUGAUCGUGAAGAGUAAAACCAAGAUGCCCAGUUGUGAUCGUGAGGAACGGGUUGCGACCGCAAUGAAUCGUGGUCACUUAAAAAGUCGAAUUCUUUAUUUCAAAAUGAUGGUCCUCAUUCCCAAAAGCCCUAAACUUUAUCUCAAGAACUCAACCAAAUCACAAUUAUUUUGUGCAAAACUCUUCGUGAAUUAACAAUCCUCAAGAUCCUAGUCAAGACAUUUCUCAUUGCGGCUGAGCAGAUCUAUCGAAUUGUGUCCAUUCAAAAUCAUGGGUUGAUGUUACAAUCAUGGUCUCUCGACCUAUAAUUGUCUACCUUCGUUGAUGGCUAACUAUAUCAUUGAGAGGGGAUAAGCAUGAACCAACAAAGAUUUCAUUAGUCCUAUCCUCCUGUCUAAUAACCAAACAUAGUGUAUAGGAUAAUGAGAUAUAGAGUUGAUCGGGCAGAUAAGAGAAGAAACCAAGUGAAAACAAGGCAAAAUGGAGACUAAAACUGAAAAAUAUAGAACUGGCAGUAGACUAUUCAUCAUGACGACAUGGUUAACUUGUCACGAUUAUGAUCAACAUGUUAAUAGAUUAUCCCAAUUGUGUGGCAAAAGGUUGCGAUCGCGAAAUCUUGAUCAACGGUGACCUCACACCGUGCUCAAACUGUCGCGAAUGCAAAGAGAAAAGUGUCGGGCGUUCAAGGCAAUUUUGAAAAUUCACAAUUUGAUCCCAAAUUUAAUAAUACACUCAUUCACAACCAUUUUGGAGAGAAUGCUUCGAUAAUUCUGACCUUGGACAUAGCUUUAAGAGAAAACUUCCACAACCAAUACCAUUAGAGUAAAGAUUGAGAGCUUAAAUUGUAUUCAUCUUUAAUUCUUUCUUCAACUCUAUGGUUUGUAUUGAAUAUUUCUAGGAGUAGUUGUUAAUAAUU